UGCAGAUGGGGUGCAUGCAGGCAAUGCCAUCAAAGCCAGUCCAGAAUAAUUGGGGCUGGGACUGCUGCUUCUGUUACUAGGCUGUUCUAAGAUCUGUCGUGUUUUCAAAGGGAAGAAGAUAUGCUGCCACUUCCCUUGAAGUUCCAGUUUACACGGGUCAGCUGCAUACCUGCAAUUAAACCUUGAAGGAAUUUUGGGAGGCCCUCUUUUUCAGCAGCUACUUUUUUUAACCAUCCUUUUCCAGGUCAAGCACUGCUUCUGCUUAUGCCAAGUCACAUUCAAAUUGAUAAAAUCAAGGAAGCAUGGCGGCAAGAAAGAUAGCCCUAAAAUCCUGUUCGGCAGUCAGACAUCUACUCUUCAUUAGCCAGUAUUUAUGCUGCCAGAUUGGACUUUCAUAUGGGAGCCUGAAGCAGGAAUGGUACAGAUGGCAGGAAAGCUCUCAUGAGAUUGAUAACGAUGAAGAAAGAUGCCACAUUAAGUCAGAAGGUGCCACUGUUAACAUCCCAGCUUGGAGGAGAAUAUUUCUAGCUAGCACUCCCCUCUAAGCAAUAUUCCAUCUACCAACCCCCAUCUGCUCCUUGGUUAUAAAUCCCCACUCAUCUUUGUUGGAGUCGGAGUCCAGCCCAAUCUCUCUACCCUACUGCAAGACCUGUUCCAGUGGGCCCCACACCUGUCACCAUAGCCCCAGUUGAAUAAAGUCUGCCUUACCAUCUUGAACAAGUGCUAUGAAGAAU